CCUGCUUGGUAACUUCAAAAUGUGACUGCGAUGCAAUUAUCCUAGUUUAAACUUGGCUCAACGUAGAUUUUUAUGACAAUGAAGUUUUAUCAAGUUUUCCGCAAGGAUUGGGAUACUAUAAAAACACAUUGCGCUAGAGGUGGAGACGUCCUAUUUGCUGUACGGCGUAGAUUGCGUUGUACACCUGUAAGUCCAGCAAACGAUGAUUCUCUUCCGGAUCAAAUCUAUACAACGCUCAUGUGGACAACAUCGCUCAUAUUCGUAAGCAUCUGGAUGAUCACCAGUACAUCUGCAUUCUGGCUAACUAACAUAUGUCAUGGCUGGUGCAGAAGAAUGGGCAUCUGCCUCAUGAAGUGGUAUAGAUACUUAAAAGGGUCUUAACGGUUCUGACUUGUGGAAACCCAACAAUUGACUAGCCUGAAUGGAACUCUUGUCCUUGAUCAAUGUGCUAAUAACAAUGAAAUAUGUAUUUGGAGCCAAAAACAUUCCACAAGGUAUCGUUGAAAUAGUAUUGUGUUCUAUGUUGUUUUGCAUAUUUUUAAAAGCUGCGGAUGCUUAUGCUGAUAAGCUGUUUGCUUCAGCCAUUUUGAAAAAGAAUAGCUGUUGCAAUUUUAAGCGGUUAUGUGCAGAGGCGGUUUCCCCAAAAAACCAUCUCCUUACCAUUGUAUUAUACACAUUGCAACAGUUACUGUGUUUAUGCGAUGCCGAAUUCACGCUUUCAUUUCGCGAUUUCAGCCGAUUCGUGUGUGCAUAAACGCCAUUUCGUGAAUUCGGGAACACACAAAAGUUGACUAUGAAUUCAACCUGAAAGCGUGAAAUGGUCACAAAUAAACUCCGGUAACUCUAUAUAAUUAUCGAAGCUGCCAGAUCGAUAUAAAUACAUAAAUACACCUUACUUUUGACAAAUUAUUUUUUAAUUCAGUGCCUAUGGAAACGAGUUUUUAUCUUUUAUUUUGAUGGUAGAAAUAAUGUUAUACUGACUUGCACACACUUUAUCUUUAAUAUUAGCAACAUUAUUUCAUACGAAUCGAAAAAUAUUUUCGGUUUAAAUAUCGCUCAGACCUUUUUCCACCGGUCCGGCAUCUCUGUCAGCUGAGAUUGAUAAAAUGCAUGAAUUCGGCCGCGUCGCAUAAGCAAGAGCAAAUUUUAUUUCACGCUUUCAAGAAAUCAUGAAACCCUUAGCAUAAACAUAGUAAUUUAUUCUAAGCGUAAAGCUGUUCCUACAGAAAACUGCUAUUGCAUAGAGCUAAUGGGUCUCAACGAACCGAAGCCCAAAAGGAUUUCACAAUUUCUUAAAAAAUAAGAUAGCCAUUAGGUUUUCGUCGUUUACGGUCUGAUAUAGCUUCGGGAUUCUCGUCCAUCAUAAAUAAUUUUUUUCUUAAGAGAAUUGGCAUUUGUACUUAAAAUUCCUUUAACAAUAUGAAGCUAAAAUACAUCUCUUUCCCCAAAAAAUCCCACAACGCGAUAAACAAAAGUCAGCAAUUACCUUAAAAAAUACUGUAUAAUGUUAAUGUUACUUUCCGCUGAAGCGAAGUGGUGUCAACUCCUACCCGACUCUUUCUACCGCUAGUAAAUUUAAUGGAAGGAAAAUUCGCUAAAGCGGAAUUUGUUUCUGAUGCAGACAAGCCUCUGUAUAAACAGAAUAUAGAUAAGUCGGCCAUUUUUGGAUGGCAGACUAAUAACAUCUCGCUGCAGCAGAAAAUGGGACCACACAUGUAGUCGAUUCAGUAUUCCAGUGAUUUAUACUGUAUGUUUUACGAGUUUGGGUGAUUUUUGUACCUUGCGUUUCGUGAUUUUUUUGAGAAGGAAAUGCAUUUGAACUGUAGUGACGCCGUUAUAAGGGAAUUGUUGUUGCUGUAGGCCCAAUGAGCCUUCCAGCUGCUCGGAAAUCAGCAAUGGAUCUCAUCUUGUAAAUAAAUUUUCUAUGCUUUUUUUAAGGGAAUGACCAGCUUCAGGUUUAUGUUCUUCUUGUCAAGACCUGACACCUUUUGCACUACAACGUACAUUAUUUAUUAAAAUAAGAAACCAUUUGAAAGAAUAUCGACCGCCCAAUAUUGUUUUUAUACCCGUUACUCGUAGAGUAAAAGGGUAUACUAGAU